UUUGAUCCUGGCUCAGGAUGAACGCUAGCGGCAGGCCUAAUACAUGCAAGUCGAACGAGAUUCUAUUCUUCGGAAUAGAUGAAAGUGGCGCACGGGUGCGUAACGCGUAUGCAACCUACCCUUAACAGGGGGAUAGCCCAGAGAAAUUUGGAUUAAUACCCCAUAGUACUACAAGAUGGCAUCUGAAAGUAGUUAAAGAUUUAUCGGUUAAGGAUGGGCAUGCGUGACAUUAGAUAGUUGGUGAGGUAACGGCUCACCAAGUCAACGAUGUCUAGGGGUUCUGAGAGGAUGAUCCCCCACACUGGUACUGAGAUACGGACCAGACUCCUACGGGAGGCAGCAGUAGGGAAUAUUGGUCAAUGGGCGAGAGCCUGAACCAGCCAUGCCGCGUGCAGGAAGACAGCUUUCUGAGUUGUAAACUGCUUUUAUACGGGAAGAAAAGCCG
rnacentral:rRNA from 1 species